rnacentral:rRNA from 1 species
UGGGGAAUAUUGCACAAUGGGCGAAAGCCUGAUGCAGCAACGCCGCGUGAGUGAUGAAGGUCUUCGGAUUGUAAAGCUCUGUCUUUUGGGACGAUAAUGACGGUACCAAAGGAGGAAGCCACGGCUAACUACGUGCCAGCAGCCGCGGUAAUACGUAGGUGGCGAGCGUUGUCCGGAUUUACUGGGCGUAAAGGGUGCGUAGGCGGAUGUUUAAGUGAGAUGUGAAAUACCCGGGCUUAACUUGGGUGCUGCAUUUCAAACUGGAUAUCUAGAGUGCAGGAGAGGAGAAUGGAAUUCCUAGUGUAGCGGUGAAAUGCGUAGAGAUUAGGAAGAACACCAGUGGCGAAGGCGAU